GAUGAACGCUGGCGGCGUGCUUAACACAUGCAAGUCGAACGGAAAGGCUCCUGCUUGCAGGGGUACUCGAGUGGCGAACGGGUGAGUAACACGUGGGUGAUCUGCCCUGCACUUCGGGAUAAGCCUGGGAAACUGGGUCUAAUACCGGAUAGGACCACAUUUUGGAUGGUGUGGUGGAAAGUUUUUCGGUGUGGGAUGAGCUCGCGGCCUAUCAGCUUGUUGGUGGGGUAAUGGCCUACCAAGGCGUCGACGGGUAGCCGGCCUGAGAGGGUGUACGGCCACAUUUGGACUGAGAUACGGCCCAGACUCCUACGGGAGGCAGCAGUGGGGAAUAUUGCACAAUGGGCGCAAGCCUGAUGCAGCGACGCCGCGUGGGGGAUGACGGCCUUCGGGUUGUAAACUCCUUUCGCUAGGGACGAAGCGUUUUUGUGACGGUACCUGGAGAAGAAGCACCGGCUAACUACGUG
rnacentral:rRNA from 1 species